AGAGUUUGAUCCUGGCUCAGAUUGAACGCUGGCGGCAGGCCUAACACAUGCAAGUCGAGCGGCAGCGGGAAAGUAGCUUGCUACUUUUGCCGGCGAGCGGCGGACGGGUGAGUAAUGUAUGGAGAUCUGCCCGAUAGAGGGGGAUAACUACUGGAAACGGUAGCUAAUACCGCAUAAUCUCUCAGGAGCAAAGCAGGGGAACUUCGGUCCUUGCGCUAUCGGAUGAACCCAUAUGGGAUUAGCUAGUUGGUGAGGUAAUGGCUCACCAAGGCGACGAUCCCUAGCUGGUCUGAGAGGAUGAUCAGCCACACUGGGACUGAGACACGGCCCAGACUCCUACGGGAGGCAGCAGUAGGGAAUCUUCGGCAAUGGACGAAAGUCUGACCGAGCAACGCCGCGUGAGUGAAGAAGGCCUUCGGGUUGUAAAGUACUUUCAGUCGGGAGGAAGGUGUCAAGGUUAAUAACCUUGGCAAUUGACGUUACCGACAGAAGAAGCACCGGCUAACUCCGUGCCAGCCGCCGCGGUAAUUC
rnacentral:rRNA from 1 species